GGGUGCGAUCAUACCAACGCUGACGCUUCAGAUCCCAUUAGAACUCCGUAGUUAAGCGUGUUUGGACGAGAGUAGUACUAAGAUGGGUGACGACCUAAGAAAUUCUCGUGUUGCACCUC